rnacentral:misc_RNA from 1 species
UUUCCGUAGGUGAACCUGCGGAGGGAUCAUUCAUAAUCAAGUGUUUUAUGGCACUUUUUAAAAAUCCAUAUCCACCUUGUGUGCAAUGUUAGAUCUCGUCAAUCUUGGCGAGAUUUUUAUACAUCAGCUCAUUCUUUAACUAAUUUGUCUGAAAAAUAUUAUGAAUACUUAAUUCAAAAUACAACUUUCAACAACGGAUCUCUUGGCUCUC